rnacentral:rRNA from 2 species
UACGAAGGGAGCUAGCGUUGUUCGGAAUCACUGGGCGUAAAGCGCACGUAGGCGGAUGUGUCAGUCAGGGGUGAAAUCCCGGAGCUCAACUUCGGAACUGCCUUUGAUACAGCACGUCUUGAGUCCGAUAGAGGUGGGUGGAAUUCCUAGUGUAGAGGUGAAAUUCGUAGAUAUUAGGAAGAACACCGGUGGCGAAGGCGGCCCACUGGAUCGGUACUGACGCUGAGGUGCGAAAGCGUGGGGAGCAAACA